AGUUACAGCAGAAGCUGGAAGGGUGAGUCAAGCCAGGACUCAGCACGCUUGAACCCAUCCACAGCUCCCACUCACAUCAUCCCACACUCCCUUUUCACAUUUACUCCAAGCAUCUGGAGCCCCAAGCUCCUGUGCCUCAACCCAUGCCCUCAGUAACAGUAUCCAUUGCCAAGCCAGAAUUGACUCCGGGCCCACCUUGCCACUCACUCAGAGUCUGUGAGGAGUGGGCACCGCACGCAGCCGUGAAACAGGCCAACUCACAGGUGGGCUCCCCACUGCACGUCUUGUCCGAAAAGACACCCCUCAGCCCCAUCAGUGUUGACUUUGCAUUGCGCCAUUAGAUUAUUUCUUUCAGCUCUUCUUAAGACAAAUGGCUGGCUGUUGGGAGGCUGGCCAGGGUUAAGGUGGAGCCUCAAUGUGGCCAUUUUCACAGCCCCGGCAAAGCCUGUGGUUGAUGCCAAACCCCCAUUGAACUGAAUAGAAUGGAGGAAAGCUAACCAACCCACCAGAAUAAUAAUCACUAAUGCUAUGGAGUGAUCACACAGCAAGACUGUUCUAAGUGUUUUAUGUGUAUUCAUUUAUUUUUACCUCAUCAUAAGUACUAUUAUUUUUCUAUUUUAUAGAUGAGAAAACUGAAACAAGGUCACAAACCAGAUGAUCUAAAGGGUAGCCACUACUGCCUCCUAAAGAACCCCAAUCAGGAAUCCCAGAUUAAUUUGCCCAGCAUCCUGUUUGGAAACCACAUGUCCACCCUGCAACUGUACCUGGCUUGUGUCCCACAAGGAGGAAGAUGCAGGGGACUCCGGAAGCUAAGGAGGUAGACAUGGGGUUUACUUGGGUUAAUGUGGCCGGGGAGUCAGGAGACCUUGAUUCCCAUUCUGGCUCUGCCCCUAUCCGCAUGAGGAUGGCCAACUGUUCCAACCAUGGGUUCCACUCUCCUCAUUGCUCAGCCACCAGGUUUCCAGGUCCCUCAGGCCCCUGCACAUCCUCAGAUAUCUGAAGAACAGUGAUCGGUGUGACGACAGGGCCCCUUCACAGAACGAACUUGACAAAGAACCACUCACCGCACACACGAGCCUUAGAAUGCACGUGUCAGUGUUUUGGGAAAUAUGUGCUGUUUUGAAAUGUGUCUGGGCCAUGAGCAAGUUUGGGGGGAGACAGGAUAGGAGCUUUUCUUCCAGUUAAUGAAGUGAGGCUUCAUGGAGGAAGAAGAUUUUCUUAGUCACAUUUCCUGUUUCACACUGACCUUUUAAAAGGAAACCCACAAGUGAACCUGUGCUAGGGCCUGCUUGCAAAAUCUACCCACAGGUAUAAUAAAGAUGAUCUAAAUAAAGCCCACAGUAGGCCAAGCUUAACCUGAAUCAGUGGAAAUAAUAAGAUCACUAAGAAGGGCUGAUGGCCUGAGAUAAGAGACAUGGUGGUGCUCCGUAUACUGUAAAUAGAAGUGACACGUGAGAGAUUUAAUGAUUAUUAAACAGGAAUCUAAGCAGAGAGGCAGAGAUAAACCAUGCAAUCUUUUCAUCAGUCUCUAGGUACUCAGGGCUUAGCCACUCAUUAUAAAAUGGAGACUCUAAAAAAUUAGGAGAGAUGGAUGCAGUGAUUUCAAAAGAAGUUGUGUUGAUUGGGUUAUAAAAUUAAUUAUGGGAAUUAAGAUUACUUAUCUGCAGAGGAAAAGACCAAGAGAUAACUGAAGAACUUAAAGUUGGUAAGGGGCCGGGCUCGGUGGCUCAUGCCUAUAAUCCCAACACCUCAGGAGCCUGAGACGAGAGGACUGCUUGAGCCCAGUUGUUCAAGGCUAGCCUGGGCAACACAGUGACACCCCGCAUUUACAAAAAUAUUUUUUUUGUCCUCAGAUUUGGUAGUGUGUGUUUCUAGUCCCAGCUACUAGGGUGGCUAAGACAGGAGGACCGCUUGAGCCUGGGAGGUUGAGGCUGCAAUGUGCUGUGAUCACACCACUGCACUCCAGUCUGGGUGACGGAGCAAAAGUCCAUCUCAGAAAAAAACCAAAAAGUUGGUAAGGAAUCAAUUAUUGGAUGAC
rnacentral:lncRNA from 10 species